rnacentral:ribozyme from 1 species
AGUCUACGAAUUUUUCCAUCAGGCCACACGGGACCCAUUUAAAGAGAUUCACCGUCGAUUGGAUAGUAUCCAUGAAAACACAACAGAGAUGAACAACAGCACUCGUGAUCUGUACAU